UGACCAUAACGACGUCGCCUGCGUGCACACACGUAGGGCCCUUUUCAGCGCGCACACCUCCCGUGGGGCAUGUCCCCUAGCUCUCACGACAGGGAUUUCUGGGCUUUUCACCCAUGAAGAGCCCAGCGCUUCAGAUAGUCCAAGCAGUCAGCUCAACAUCACACGGCUGAUCCAGAGGUUGAGCUUGGGCCUCCUGCUACGUCCAGGGCUCCUGUGCUGGAGGACUUUCAUCGCACUCAAGCAUGGAAAUAAUCAGAUGAAUAAUGAGCCUGUGAAGACGGAUGCCGUCUGAGCCAGCUCCCACAGAAGGGAAUCCUACGCCGGGAUUCCCGCCUCGAGCAGCACAGGACCAUGGAUGUUUCCGCAGAAGGCUGGCCCUCGUUUGCUCCGUUGGCAGCCGAUUGUUCCUCUCCACGGACAGCAGAGAGGCUUCGGAUUUAAUAGUGCUGGAAGCUCUGUGUUCCAGGAGCGGGGAGGAGAUGAGCGCUGGUGGGCUCAGGGAUGACAGCACAGAACCUCGUGCUGGGGACAGAAGGCCGCCUCUGACCCUGAGUCGGCUGCCAGUUGGGCCAGCCACCCUCCGCAGAAGGUUUUCCCACGCAGAGGUGGCCACCCGACCUGGUGACGAGCCACGGUGCGCCCGUGCUCACCUAUUGCUGGAUCACAAACCAUCCCCAAACUCGAGGCUUCACGCCAAGUUGUUCUCCACCUUGCCAUUCUACGGGCCAGGUUUCUGUUCCAUGUCGCGUUGGCUGGGGUGGCCCGACUGGGGCUGGAGGAUCCACCGUGGCCUCGCUCGCGCGUCCGGGAGCGUGGUGCUGGCGGUCGGCGGGGUGCCUCAGGUUCCCUCCACACGGCCCCCCUCCGGCAGCGCAGCCCGGACUCGUUUACGCGGCAGCUGGGUUCCAGGAACAACAGUGAAACGACGGUGAGCUCCGUGGGGAAACACCUGUGUUCUCUGCACCCCACGGGGCAGGCGCAGCACGGCACAGCGGCUCAGUCACAUGUUCUCCGGACUGUGGAUGGGGCAGCGAGAGGAAGAGAAAAGAGGGCUGCCCCGAGGUCCCGAGUUAGACAAGCCUCAGAAGACGAACGUCCUCCAGGGAGAAAAGACAGCUGUUCUGGAAAAUGGGCCUGGCCUACAGACUGUGCCCAGCCACAGUGGGGAGAGGCUGGCAGUCACAUUCAUCCGUCACGGGCAUCUCUAGUUGGCUCUUAGCAAGCCCAGGGGAAAAGGCAUUUCUCUCUCUCCUA